GCCAGGAUAGCUCAGUGGAUAGAGCGCGUAUUCACCCUGGCCGGUAUUCUCCGGCAACGGCAGUGAUGGUCAGGGUUACUCCGCUUCGGACGGCGAGGUCGCGGGUUCGAAUCCCGUUCCUGGCA
rnacentral:tRNA from 1 species